rnacentral:misc_RNA from 1 species
GAAAUGCGAUACUUGGUGUGAAUUGCAGAAUCCCGUGAACCAUCGAGUCUUUGAACGCAAGUUGCGCCCGAAGCCUUCGGGCCAAGGGCACGUCUGCCUGGGCGUCACGCACCGCGUCGCCCCCACCCCAAACCACUGGGAUCGGGGGCGGACUGUGGCCCCCCGUGCGCUCCUCGCUCGCGGUCGGCCUAAACACAGACCCCGUGGCCUCGAAAAGCCGCGACGUUUGGUGGUUCACUUGUGGCCUCGUGCCCCAAGCAUCGCGUCGCGGCCUUGGUGGCCCACGGGAGCUCAAAGGACCCUGAGGAGGAGGACCGCGUCACCCUCGAGUGCCAAGGAGAACCUCCCUAACCGUUGCGACCCCAGGUCAGGCGGGACUACCCGCUGAGUUUAA